rnacentral:rRNA from 1 species
CAAUCUGUCCUUACGUUCCGAAUAAUUGACCGAAAGGUCUUGUAAUGCGGGCGAGGAUGGCGGGAAGGCAUCUUUCUGUCAGGGAAGGCAUUGAGGUAACUUGAUGUCGUGCAAGGAGGAGUUCGCGGCCUAUCAGGUAGUAGGUGGGGUAAUGGCCUACCUAGCCGACGACGGGUAGCUGGUCUGAGAGGAUGGUCAGCCACAUUGGAACUGAGAUACUGUCCAG